AGCAGCCGCGGUAAUUCCAGCUCCAAUAGCGUAUAUUAAAGUUGUUGCAGUUAAAAAGCUCGUAGUUGAAUUUCGGGGUUAGCAGGUCGGUCGUGCCAUUGGUAUGAACUGGUCUCGCUGAUCCCUCCCUCUUGACGAACUGUGAUGCCAUUAAUUUGGUGUCGCAGGGAAUCAGGACUGUUACUUUGAAAAAAUUAGAGUGUUUAAAGCAGGCUUUAGCUUGAAUACAUUAGCAUGGAAUAAUGAAAUAGGACGUUCGAACCUAUUUUGUUGGUUUCUAGGAUCAACGUAAUGAUUAAUAGGGAUAGUUGGGGGCAUUAGUAUUCAAUUGUCAGAGGUGAAAUUCUUGGAUUUAUUGAAGACUAACUACUGCGAAAGCAUUUGCCAAGGAUGUUUUCAUUAAUCAAGAACGAAAGUUAGGGGAUCGAAGACGAUCAGAUACCGUCGUAGUCUUAACCAUAAACUAUGCCGACUAGGGAUCGGAUGAUGUUAAUUUUUUAAUGACUCAUUCGGCGCCUUACG
rnacentral:rRNA from 1 species